rnacentral:rRNA from 1 species
GUCGAACGGAUCCUUCGGGAUUAGUGGCGGACGGGUGAGUAACGCGUGGGAACAUACCCAAAGGUACGGAAUAGCCUCGGGAAACUGGGAGUAAUACCGUAUGUGCUCGAAAGAGGAAAGAUUUAUCGCCUUUGGAUUGGCCCGCGUUGGAUUAGGUAGUUGGUGGGGUAAUGGCCUACCAAGCCGACGAUCCAUAGCUGGUUUGAGAGGAUGAUCAGCCACACUGGGACUGAGACACGGCCCAGACUCC